UACGGGGGGGGCAAGCGUUGUUCGGAAUUACUGGGCGUAAAGGGCUCGUAGGCGGCCAACUAAGUCAGACGUGAAAUCCCCAGGCUUAACCUGGGAACUGCAUCCGAUACUGGAUGGCUUGAAUCCGGGAGAGGGAUGCAGAAUUCCAGGUGUAGCGGUGAAAUGCGUAGAUAUCUGGAGGAAUACCGGUGGCGAAGGCGGCAUCCUGGACCGGCAUUGACGCUGAUGAGCGAAAGCGUGGGGAGCAAACGGG
rnacentral:rRNA from 1 species